rnacentral:rRNA from 1 species
UACAGAGACUGCAAGCGUUAUUCGGAUUCACUGGGCGUAAAGGGUGCGUAGGUGGCCAGGUAAGUUUGAUGUGAAAGCUCGGAGCUUAACUCCGAAAUGGCAUUGAAUACUAUCUGGCUUGAGGGUCGGAGGGGAGACUGGAAUUCUCGGUGUAGCAGUGAAAUGCGUAGAUAUCGAGAGGAACACCAGUGGCGAAGGCGAGUCUCUGGACGACACCUGACACUGAGGCACGAAAGCUAGGGGAGCAAACAGG